rnacentral:rRNA from 1 species
AUUGAACGCUGGCGGCAGGCCUAACACAUGCAAGUCGAGCGGAUGAAGGGAGCUUGCUCCUGGAUUCAGCGGCGGACGGGUGAGUAAUGCCUAGGAAUCUGCCUUGUAGUGGGGGAUAACGUCCGGAUACGGGCGCUAAUACCGCAUACGUCCUGAGGGAGAAAGUGGGUGAUCUUCGGACCUCACGCUAUCAUAUGAGCCUAGGUCGGAUUAGCUAGUUGGUGGGGUAACGGCCUACCAAGGCGACGAUCCGUAACUGGUCUGAGAGGAUGAUCAGUCACCCUGGAACUGAGACACGGGCCAGACUCCGACGGGAGGCAGCAGUGGGGAAUAUUGGACAAUGGGCGAAAGCCUGAUCCAGCAAUGCCGCGUGUGUGAAGAAGGUCUUCGGAUUGUAAAGCACUUUAAGUUGGGAGGAAGGGAAGUAAGUUAAUACCUUGCUGUUUUGACGUUACCAACAGAAUAAGCACCGGCUAACUUCGUG